rnacentral:rRNA from 1 species
GACGAACCGUGCGAACGUUGCUCGGAAUCACUGGGCUUAAAGCGUGUGUAGGCGGACUUCUAAGUGCCUUGUGAAAUCCCACGGCUCACCCGUGGAACUGCUGGGCAUACUGGGAGUCUUGAGCCACUUAGGGGCAACUGGAACAAACGGUGGAGCGGUGAAAUGCGUAGAUAUCGUUUGGAACGCCAAUGGUGAAAACAGGUUGCUGGGAGUGUGCUGACGCUAAGACACGAAAGCCAGGGGAGCGAACGGG